GGAGGCGUCAGGGUGCCUGGUGGCCCCCGCGGUCUUCAAAACCGACGUGGUCGAGUACCUCGACCAGGCGGGUUCGAUUCCCGUCCGCCUCCGCCA
rnacentral:tRNA from 2 species